rnacentral:rRNA from 1 species
GACGAACGCUGGCGGGGUGCUUAACACAUGCAAGUCGAACGGAAAGGCCCUGCUUUUGUGGGGUGCUCGAGCGGCGAACGGGUGAGUAACACGUGAGUAACCUGCCCUUGACUUUGGGAUAACUUCAGGAAACUGGGGCUAAUACCGGAUAGGAGCUCCUGCUGCAUGGUGGGGGUUGGAAAGUUUCGGCGGUUGGGGAUGGACUCGCGGCUUAUCAGCUUGUUGGUGGGGUAGUGGCUUACCAAGGCUUUGACGGGUAGCCGGCCUGAGAGGGUGACCGGCCACAUUGGGCCUGCGAUACGGCCCAGACUCCUACGGGAGGCAGCAGUGGGGAAUAGUGCACAAUGGGCGGAAGCCUGAUGCAGCAACGCCGCGUGCGGGAUGACGGCCUUCUGGUUGUAAACCGCUUUCGCCUGUGACGAAGCGUGAGUGACGGUAAUGGGUAAAGAAGCACCGGCUAACUACGUG